rnacentral:lncRNA from 1 species
CCUGGCCGUCCUUCCUGACCAUGGCCCAUGCAGGGGCUUGGACCCAGAGGAGUCAGCCCAGGAGCCUGUACCCCACAGCCAGGCCACUGCCUCCAGCCCUCCGGCUGCCCCACAGCCGCCUGCCAGCAAGUAUCCAGCAAGGGGAACCCCAGGUCUUUCCAGGAAGGCAGGUGUGGGGCACCAAGGGGGCAGCAUGUCAGGCAGGGGGCCCGGGACACACAGCUCCCCAGGAACAAGUUGCAGGGAAGGCCAGCAACAGUCAGGAAAGAGGACUGGAGAGGAAGGGAGGCUGUGCUGAGCUCCCAGGUGCCACUGUGCCACAUGCUGGAGGACAUGGCAGCCACCUGCACAAGCCUGUUGCUGCAGCACAAUGAAAAGGCCACAUGCCAUGAGGCAUCGGAUACCGCUCAUCAGUGGGAACAAACUCCCUCCUGCCUGAUCAGUGUCAGGACCAGAUCACUCACGCUCCUGCUCUGGCUCUGUUUGCAAUCAAAACCCGAGGAAAAUUCUGGCUCACCAAAGCACUCUUUGCUCUUGCAGUGCUUUUUUGCAAAUCUUCCACAUCCUUGCUCUGCCAGGUGCACACACCUUUCCCCAUCCACAGGCACACUAUUGCCCGCCUGUGCCCACAUGCGUGCAUGCUCUUCUGCAGAAAAGACUUUAAUGAUUUCGAGGCUCCUCUUACUGCCCAGGAUGUUUCUAUGGAGACUCCCUUCAUGUCCCAUCAUUGGCUGCAGAAGGCUUCUGGCCAUCAACAGCUUCAGGUGAGUUGAGGACCUCAAGCUUCAAGUCACCUGCAGUUGUUAAUGCCACCAGCUGCAGCUAAUUAGGAUGAGAUUAACAAAGCCCAUCUGAAGUAGCAAUGGUGAGUGAGGUAAUGCUAGUGAGUGAAGGGAAGUGAUCGCAAAGCCCUUUUCCCUGAUCUCCUUCUGGGGUACUGUGGCAGGGAGGAGAAGAAAAGAGGGACAGAGUUGUCUGGAGAAAGGGUCUGCACAAACAGUUCUGCUUUUGCAGCUCCCUGCUAGGAUUUCCCAAAGAGCAGAACUCAUGUGAGCACGGUAGCCCUUCGCACUGCAGAUGCAGUGACUGGCCCUGAC